rnacentral:misc_RNA from 1 species
GUUCAGGCUCUCCUGUUGAAUCAGGGUCCUGCAAAAACUGCUGAUAUUCCCUGGGUUGCUUUGAUUGGUCAGUCAGUUUCAAUAGCUUCUGCACAGUCUGGAUCUGAGAGCUCAUUGGAAACUGCAUGGAAAGCAGAGAGUGAAAGUCUUAAAUCGAUACUGACUGGAGCCCCUCAAAGUAAGCUAGGCAGAAUAGCUUUGGUGGAUGUUCUGGCACAUCAGAUUCGCAAGCGUAUGAAAGUUCGGCUACCGAACCUCAUUUCUGGGUUACAAGGGAAGUCUCAAAUAGUUCAGGAUGAAUUAGUAAGGCUUGGGGAGCAGAUGGUUGAAAGUGCUGAAGGCACAAGGGCUCUUGCAUUGGAACUUUGCCGUGAGUUUGAGGAUAAAUUUCUUCAACACAUUACAACUGGUGAGGGUGCCGGUUGGAAAGUUGUUGCAAGUUUUGAGGGAAAUUUCCCUAAUAGGAUCAAGCAGCUUCCUUUGGACAGACAUUUUGAUAUCAACAAUGUCAAGAGGAUUGUAUUAGAAGCGGAUGGUUAUCAACCAUAUCUCAUAUCUCCUGAAAAGGGUUUGAGAUCCUUGAUAAAAGGAGUUCUUGAGCUUGCAAAAGAGCCAUCACGUCUUUG